GACGAACGCUGGCGGCGUGCUUAACACAUGCAAGUCGAACGAAGAGGCGAACGGGUGAGUAACGCGUAAUCAACCUGCCCUUCAGAGGGGGACAACAGUAGGAAAAGGCUGCUAAUACCGCAUACUGAAGGAAGGGGUUGCGGCUGAUUCGCUAGUUGGAGGGGUACCGGCCCACCAAGGCGAUGAUCAGUAGCCGGUCUGUGAGGGUGAACGGCCCCAUUGUGACUGAGACACGGCCCAGACUCCUUCGGGAGGCAGCAGGUGGGAAUCUUCCGCAAUGGACGAAAGUCUGACGGAGCAACGCCGCGUGAGUGAUGACGGCCUUCGGGUUGUAAAGCUCUGUUAAUCGGGACGCGGUACCGGAAGAGAAAGCCCCGGCUAACUACGUGCCAGCAGCCGCGGUAAUUC
rnacentral:rRNA from 1 species